rnacentral:rRNA from 1 species
CCUACGGGAGGCAGCAGUGGGGAAUUUUGGACAAUGGGCGAAAGCCUGAUCCAGCCAUUCCGCGUGAGUGAAGAAGGCCUUCGGGUUGUAAAGCUCUUUCGCAAGGGAAGAAAACUUAUAUUCUAAUAAAGUAUGAGGAUGACGGUACCUUGAUAAGAAGCACCGGCUAACUACGUGCCAGCAGCCGCGGUAAUACGUAGGGUGCGAGCGUUAAUCGGAAUUACUGGGCGUAAAGCGUGCGCAGGCGGUUUUGAAAGUCAGAUGUGAAAUCCCCGAGCUCAACUUGGGAACUGCGUUUGAAACUCCAAAGCUAGAGUAUAGGAGAGGGGGGUAGAAUUCCACGUGUAGCAGUGAAAUGCGUAGAGAUGUGGAGGAAUACCAAUGGCGAAGGCAGCCCCCUGGCCUAAUACUGACGCUCAUGCACGAAAGCGUGGGGAGCAAACAGGAUUAGAUACCCUGGUAGUCCACGCCCUAAACGAUGUCUACUAGUUGUUGGUGGAGUAAAAUCCAUUAGUAACGCAGCUAACGCGUGAAGUAGACCGCCUGGGGAGUACGGUCGCAAGAUUAAAACUCAAAGGAAUUGACCGGNNGAGAGNGCGAGACGACGACGAGGAGAGG